GACGAACCGUCCAAACGUUAUUCGGAAUCACUGGGCUUACAGAGUUCGUAGGCGGCGCGGUAAGUCGGGUGUGAAAUCUCGGAGCUUAACUCCGAAACUGCAUUCGAUACUGCCGUGCUUGAGGACUGGAGAGGAGACUGGAAUUUACGGUGUAGCGGUGAAAUGCGUAGAUAUCGUAAGGAAGACCAGUGGCGAAGGCGGGUCUCUGGACAGUUCCUGACGCUGAGGCACGAAGGUCAGGGGAGCAAACGGG
rnacentral:rRNA from 2 species